rnacentral:lncRNA from 1 species
UCCCAAUGAAAUAAAUUUAAUAGUGUUCGACAAUGACAUCUGGAGACAUGACCGAAUUAGUAGCAGCAAUUCCUAAAUAUUUUACCUUUCCUAGUUACAGGAUUAACCAGGUAUAUAAAGUAGUUUCCAUUAACAAAUUUAUUAAAAUAUGUUUAUACAGUGAUCUGUAGUAAUUACACUACAGAAGUUAAAGUUGUGGUAAACUUAUGUUUAUGGAUGCCAUCACUGAAGAUGAAAGCGGUAGCGGUAAAAUACCGAGUACCAAGGAUUAUCGGCAAGUAUAAGAUGGGGACUAAUGCCUAAUCUAUUCUCACCGACAGGCUCUACUACCCCUUACUGAAUUUCAUGCAGAUCUUGUUGGCUGAAAGUGCAUAACAUUCAUCAAUUUAGUGGUAGUUAAAUCGACUUGAUUUGGCUUGAGAAUGGUCCAAUGGUCUCACAAUCGACUUGAGAAUGGUCCAGGACGGACCGAAACGUCGUCGUCACUUUAACUUCUAGUGUGUGGUCUGGUCAACAUACUUCAGCCACGUUAUUGUGACUCAUCGCCUGCAAAGGUGGUUGAACAGUGUUUACCGUUAUAUAAAGAACAUUGAUUGGAUGUAAUAUGAUCGCCAGCAGUGUGCAUCAGAUACUCGGCAACUCCACUGCUCAAUCUUCUAUAAUGGUUAUGGAAGGUCCUUGCAACAAUGAAACUUCAGUAUGAAGAUGUUCCUGGAAACAUUUUGAAUAUGGAAUCAGAAGUGUAACUUCAUCCUCGAGUGGAAGGUUUUUUGUACUUCAAAAUGAGAAUUGUGCUAAAGGAGUGACUGGCUUAGUGUUCAACUCUGCAAAAGGAACUACAGUACUAAAUAGUGGUGGCUGUCCUUGUUACUCUGCCCUUAUAGUCUUCAGUGAUGGCAUCUUGAAACAUCAGUUCACCACAACCUGGAAAAUAGUCACAAUUAGAUAUUAUACUGUCACUAAUGUGAUGUCAAACCAUGGAAGGUCUAAAACAAGAUUUCCUAAAGUACUCUUGUAUUUUAAUAAUACAUCUUUAGGAGUAGUUAUUUUCCUUUCUUCUGAAGAUUGUAUUAUUAAAAUAUAAAUACUUAUGGAAUUUCCUGUUUCCAUACUACCUCUGGUCUGACACUUGUACUAUAUAUACAUUAAUAAAAGUUCUAAUGAAAAUUUCUAUACUU